rnacentral:rRNA from 1 species
GAUGAACGCUGGCGGCGUGCCUAAUACAUGCAAGUCGAGCGAACGGACGAGAAGCUUGCUUCUCUGAUGUUAGCGGCGGACGGGUGAGUAACACGUGGAUAACCUACCUAUAAGACUGGGAUAACUUCGGGAAACCGGAGCUAAUACCGGAUAAUAUUUUGAACCGCAUGGUUCAAAAGUGAAAGACGGUCUUGCUGUCACUUAUAGAUGGAUCCGCGCUGCAUUAGCUAGUUGGUAAGGUAACGGCUUACCAAGGCAACGAUGCAUAGCCGACCUGAGAGGGUGAUCGGCCACACGGGAACUGAGACACGGUCCAGACUCCUACGGGAGGCAGCAGUAGGGAAUCUUCCGCAAUGGGCGAAAGCCUGACGGAGCAACGCCGCGUGAGUGAUGAAGGUCUUCGGAUCGGAAAACUCUGUUAUUAGGGAAGAACAUAUGUGUAAGUAACUGUGCACAUCUUGACGGUACCUAAUCAGAAAGCCACGGCUAACUACGUG